rnacentral:rRNA from 1 species
AUUGAACGCUGGCGGCAGGCCUAACACAUGCAAGUCGAGCGAGCGGCGGACGGGUGAGUAAUGUCUGGGAAACUGCCUGAUGGAGGGGGAUAACUCCUGGAAACGGUAUCUAAUACCGCAUACCAUCAGAUGUGCCCCGAUGGGAUUAGCUAGUAGGUGGGGUAACGGCUCACCUGGGCGACGCUCCCUAGCUGGUCUGAGAGGAUGACCAGCCACACUGGAACUGAGACACGGUCCAGACUCAUACGGGAGGCAGCAGUGGGGAAUAUUGCACAAUGGGCGCAAGCCUGAUGCAGCCAUGCCGCGUGUGUGAAGAAGGCCUUCGGGUUGUAAAGUACUUUCAGCGGGGAGGCGUUACCCGCAGAAGAAGCACCGGCUAACUCCGUGCCAGCAGCCGCGGUAAUAC